UACGUAGGGGGCAAGCGUUGUCCGGAUUAUUGGGCGUAAAGAGCGUGUAGGCGGCCAGAUAGGUCCGUUGUGAAAACUGGAGGCUUAACCUCCAGCGGUCGAUGGAAACCAUCUGGCUAGAGUCCGGGAAGAGGAGAGUGGAAUUCCUGGUGUAGCGGUGAAAUGCGCAGAUAUCAGGAAGAACACCCGUGGCGAAGGCGGCUCUCUGGGACGGUACUGACGCUGAGACGCGAAAGCGUGGGGAGCGAACAGG
rnacentral:rRNA from 1 species